rnacentral:rRNA from 1 species
AGUUUGAUUCUGGCUCAGGACGAACGCUGGCGGCGUGCUAACACAUGCAAGUCGAGCGGGGACACUGAAAGUUUCGGACGGAAGGUGUCUAGCGGCGGACGGGUGAGUAACGCGUGAGCAAUCUGUCCCAGACAGGGGGAUAACAGAUGGAAACAUCUGCUAAUACCGCAUAAGACCACGAGGUCACAUGGCCUUGAGGUAAAAGGAGAAAUCCGGUUUGGGGUGAGCUCGCGUCCGAUUAGCUAGUUGGAGGGGUAACGGCCCACCAAGGCGACGAUCGGUAGCCGACCUGAGAGGGUGAUCGGCCACACUGGAACUGAGAGACGGUCCAGACUCCUACGGGAGGCAGCAGUGGGGAAUAUUGGGCAAAUGGGGGAAACCCUGACCCAGCAACGCCGCGUGAGGGAAGAAGGUUUUCGGAUUGUAAACCUCUGUCCUUGGUGAAGAAAAAAUGACGGUAGCCAAGGAGGAAGCCCCGGCUAACUACGUGCCAGCAGCAGC